rnacentral:miRNA from 1 species
GUGUGUGUACGUGCAUGUGUGUGUGCGCGCAUGUACAUGUGUGUAUCUGUGCACAUGCACACACGUGCUGAGUUUCAGGAACAGGU